GCUUUUUCCCCCAGGGUCGCGUGGAGGCUCUGGUUUGUCCUCCUCAAACCUUAUCCAUGGCGACGACGGUGGGCUCGAGGCAACGACGGAGAGGUCUCGGCGACGGCGGCGUAGGUUGAUUGGAAUUCAGUUUUGCAAGUGUCUACAACCGUCAAUUAAAAUUAAGGCAACACCAAUGCUUUUGUGAUGAUUUCCUUGUGUCUAUAUGGAACUUAAAUGCUACCAUGUGCUCAAUUUUAUUUAAUGUGAAAGUCAUGCUAUCUUGUAAACAUAAUAUACUACAUAUAUUAGUUACUAGGUGGUUGUUUUGAUUCAUGGUGUCCAUGAAUGCUGUAGUCUUGUUUUACAUUCUGCACAUAUGAAAAUCUGCAGCAAUUUGGUACAAGCAGUACCCUGAAUUACAUAUCUGAGGUGUUCCAUUUUAUUUUAUUGUCUAUAUAUUUCCCAUGUUUUUUUUUGUUAUCACGCAAUGGUGGUAGUCCCGCCGAAUUUUCUUCAAUGAGUAGUCUCAACUGCUUGAGGUGGUCAAGUUUCCCUUUUUUGUGGGUUCCUAGUGAGUUGAGCUCUAGCCUAUUCUCAUAUGCUAAUCUUGUGUAGGAAGAUUGCCAGUGUUGCACGAGCAUGGAAUUGUGGAUGUCGUUAUGCACUAUUCUAAGGUGUCGGCUAGCUGGCUAGAGGAGUGUGUGGUCACGGCCUAGUGACUUUUGUUCAUUUUCUUCACUCUAGUGUCUUUUGUCCAUUUCUCCCUAAGUCUCUUGUUCUGGUAUCUUAUGUUUGUCAAUCAUUUCGUCUAUGUAUUCAUUCUAGGAUGAACAACUGACCUCUUACUAUUCUUCUUACAAAUCAGUUUGUAGUGUCCUACUUAAGUGUCUACCUUUUAAAUUUCAAGCCCAAAACUUAAAACUGGCUAUCCCUUUCAGUAAAUAUUUUCAUUUUUCAUCCUUUUUCUUUAGUUUUCAUUUUCCGUAUAUAAAUAGGAGUGUCCUACUUAAGUGGCUCAAGAUAGACCUGGCUGACAGAUUUUCGCCCCCUCUAUUUUUUAGUCUGCACUUUGUUUGUCACUCUAUAAGCUUGCUAUUUCAUUUUUAUCAUUUACCUGUUGUCUUAACAUUCUUCGUUGAUCUGCCUUGUUCUUCUCCAUCUUGUCAGUUAUAGAGGAUGACAAAGUCUUCACUUAAUUUUCCUUCCCAUUCAUCAUUUCUACUUUUUCAUUUCUUCAGUAUUUGAUCUCUUUUUUUAGCUCUGAGUUAGUGUAGCUUUUUCAGGUAAAAAUGAUAGUAGGUUAGUCUCUCAUUUGUCCCACUUAUUUUCAAUACUUAUUCCUAAGUAUUCAUUGUUCAUUAUUCUUGUUCCUCAGUUUGUAAGCUUGCAUUCUCAGUCUUAUAUUAGUUUUUGUAACAGUAUCAGACUAGCAGUCCUCAUUUUAUCAUAUUUAGUUAUCAUUUGCAUCUUUCUUCAGUCCUAACUUUCAUGAGUCUUGUCUUUCAGUAGAUUAUUAUUUCUGUUUUGAACCUUAUGUUCAUGUAAGUCCUAAGUUUUCAGUUUUCGGUUUCAGUUUUUUGCAAUGAUUUUUUGCUAGAUUAUUUUCAGUUUUUAGUCAUCAGUACUCCUAAGUAUCAGUUUUAGUUCUUUUCAACUAUAUGUUAAGUGAUUAGUUAUUUGGUCAGUGUUUGUUCAGUAUCUUAAGUGUCUCAUUUUAGUUCUCUUCAGCUAUUUGGUCGGUGUUUUGUUCUUGUCUAUCAGUUUUAAAUUAUGUCACUUAUUAUUCUAACUAGUUUAGUUUCCAUUCAGCUUAUUAUUUUCAGUUUAUUUUGUUAUUCCUGUAUUUUCAGCAUUCAUUUUAAAUUUGUUAGACUUGGUAUGUGUUUAUAAUUCCUGUAGUUUAAAUUAGUUAUCUGGUGAGUCUCUGUUCUUAGUUUUUCAGUCAUAUUUUUGCUAACAAAUAGCUUUUUCUCUGCCACAUAUGUAACGGGGAUGGCGUACCCAAUGUGCAAGUCCGACCGUGCUGGCCGUCGCUCAUCGCGUUCAAAUUUUGGGGUUUGGUUGUCUGAGGACUUUGAAAGCUCAGUGAUAACUUAGUUUUGAAUAUGUUCAAUUUAUCACUAUAGUUUCGUUUCAAAAAAAAUAUCACUAUAGUCUAGUUCACUGCCAUGGUCAUUUAUUCAUUUAUCACUACAGUCUAGUUCUUGUUAUGGUUAAUUUUUCAUUCAUCACUCAUUUUUACAAGCCCAUGAUGUGGAUAUUACCAACACCUCCCUGUAUUUUUUAUGAUAGCAUGAUAGUUGUCCUGUUCAGUUAAACAUUUCGUUUCUUCUUUAGUUUGUGUAUGAAUUCAGUUUUUCCAAUUGCAGAUACAAACUUAGUCCUUUUAGCUGAUAGAAUUAUAUCAACUGUACUUUUUUCUUAGAUUUCUUUUUUCUCAUUUAGUCAUUACUUGUUGCAUUCAUUUCCCUUUUUUAGUCUAUCGGUUUUUAGAGUUUAGCUAUUUGCCAGUCUCAUCUGCAAACGUCUCAUUCCCCAGCAAGCAUGAGGAUAGCCUAUAUUUUGAUCUUCCUUUUCCAUUUCUUUUUGUUGUUUUCUGUAGUUUAUCCCAUGCCACUCAAGGGUCGAAUUUAAUUGCGCCACUGACGAAGACGUGCUUUCGAGGAAUGUGAGGGGUGCAAAUUCCUCAUCGAGAUCAGGAAAGAACACUGGGGGAUCCACAUCUAUGGCGUUGGGUGGGAGGACUUUCAUCAGGUUGAAUAAUCUCAGUGAGGGAGUUUUGUUCUGUUUUGUACUGGAUGGACUACUAGUGCCAAAGUUGAAGAUUUGCCUGGUUGCGCUACCUCCCAACCAGGUUAAUCUAGCGCUUGAGGCUUCUGUUUUCACGAAAGACAUCAAUAUAAAGGCAAGAUAGAGUGCAAAGCUAUAUGAAACUCUACUAUAUUGACCAACGGAUACAUGGUGUGCCAUUUGUGCAUCUUUUUUUGUUCA